rnacentral:rRNA from 1 species
AUGCCGCCGGCCCCGGCCGCGCUGCUCCUCGCGGCGCCCGCGGGGCUGUCGCCCUGGCGGCCGUGCCCGCGGGCCCCGCGGCGGACGGCGCCCAGGCUGCGGCUGCGUGCGGCGAGGAUCCGCGCGGCGGCGACCGUCAACGGCGAGUUCGGCGGGCUCGGCAGGCGCCGCCUCGACGCCGGCGAGUUCAUCGGGCGCCUGCGGAACGUGCUGCCGGGGGGCAGCUGGUGGCGCCUCGAGGACGAGGACGCGGGCGGGGCCGGCCGCGCCGAGGCCAGCGGGGCCACCGCCGCCUCCGCGCUCAGCCGGAUGUGGGCCCUCGUCGCCGCCGACCGCUGGGUCAUCUUCGCCGGCUUCGCCUCCCUCGUCUGCGCCGCGCUCGCGGAGAUCGCUAUCCCCCAUCUGCUCGCCGCCUCCAUCUUCUCCGCGCAGAAUGGAGGCGCCGUCUUCUACCGGAAUGCCAAGCUUCUGGUUGUUCUGUGUAUGAUUUCCGGAGUGUUCAGUGGUGUGCGAAGCUGCUGUUUUGGUAUUGCCAACAUGAUAUUGGUUAAACGAAUGAGAGAAAUGCUGUUUGAUUCCAUCCUUUCUCAGGAUAUUGCUUUUUUCGAUGAAGAAACUGUCGGAGAUUUGACAAGUAGGCUUGGUUCUGACUGCCAGCAAGUGUCUAGAGUUAUUGGCAAUGAUCUUAAUCUGAUUUCACGCAAUUUGCUUCAGGGUAUAGGAGCACUGAUUUAUCUUCUAAUCUUAUCAUGGCCUCUUGGAUUGUGCACUAUGCUUACUUGUGGGACAUUGUCGACAAUUAUGCUAGUUCAUGGACGGUAUCAGAAAAAGGCCUCUAAAUUUGCACAAGAGUUCACUGCAAGUGCCAAUAAUGUUGCUCAAGAAGCGAUAAGUUUGGUUAGAACAGUGCGAGUGUAUGGGACGGAAAAGCAAGAGUUUAAAAGGUAUGCGAAGUGGCUGGAUAAGCUGUAUGAUGUGAGCUUUCGACAGACGAUGGCUUAUGGAGGCUGGAGCUUGAGCUUGAAUUAUCUGUACCAUUCUACUCAGGUUGUUGCUGUUUUGAUUGGAGGAAUAGCAAUCAUGAAUGGGAAGUUCACUGCCGAGCAACUGACAAAAUUCACACUGUACGCCGAGUGGCUGAUUUUGUCUACCUGGUGGAUUGGAGACAAUUGGUCCUCCCUGAUGCAGUCUGUUGGAGCAAGUGAAAAAGUCUUCCGGUUGAUGGAUCUCUUGCCUAGCAGGCAGCUUACCUCUAAAGGCCUCAGGUUACAGAAGCUGGAAGGACGAAUUCAAUAUGCAGAUGUAGAAUUUUCAUAUCCUUCAAGACCUUCAGCACCAAUUUUGAGAAGACUGAAUCUAACACUCAAUCCAAAUGAAGUAGUUGCAAUUGUUGGUCUUAGUGGAAGUGGCAAGAGUACUAUAGUUAACCUACUACUUCAGCUAUAUGAACCUACAAAUGGGCAAAUAUUAAUAGAUGGUGUCCCACUCAGCGAACUUGACACCAGAUGGUUCAGGGAAAGAAUUGGUUUUGUGGGACAGGAGCCUAAGCUAUUCCGGAUGGAUGUUAGUUCUAAUAUUAAGUAUGGCUGCCCAAGAGAAGUUAGCCAGGAAGAAGUUGAGUGGGCUGCAAAACAGGCUUAUGCUCACGAUUUCUUAAUGGCUCUUCCUGAUGGUUAUAACACCAUUGUCGACGAUGCUCUUCUUAGUGGAGGCCAAAAGCAACGCGUCGCCAUUGCAAGGGCCCUUCUGAGGGACCCAGCCAUCUUAGUACUCGACGAAGCCACUAGUGCACUUGAUGCUGAGAGUGAACAUUAUGUGAAGAGUGUCAUCACAGAAGUUAGCACUGAUCCUAAGGCUCGAAGAACCGUGAUUAUCAUAGCUCACAGGUUGUCUACGAUUCAAGCGGCUGACAGAAUCAUUGUGAUGGAAAAUGGCAGUAUUGUGGAGGACGGAAAGCACAGCGACCUUGUCAAGCAGAAUGGAUUGUAUUCAAGAUUAGCGCAGCGACAAAAUGAUGCUCUCCCGUAG